rnacentral:rRNA from 1 species
CUGCUGCCUUCCGUAGGAGUCUGGGCCGUGUCUCAGUCCCAAUGUGGCCGUCCACCCUCUCAGGCCGGCUACUGAUCGUCGGCUUGGUGAGCCGUUACCUCACCAACUACCUAAUCAGACGCGGGUCCAUCUUACACCACCUCAGUUUUACCUCUGUACCAUGCGGUACCGGGGUCUUAUGCGGUAUUAGCAGUCAUUUCUAACUGUUAUCCCCCUGUGUAAGGCAGGUUACCCACGCGUUACUCACCCGUCCGCCGCUCAGU